rnacentral:lncRNA from 1 species
AUGAUCCGUUGGAGACAUUUGGAAAAUAUGAAGAAUAUUUCCAGAACCAUCCAUAACUCUAGGCCUGAGAUUCUGCUGUGUUUCCUGUCUGUUGUACCACUGUCUCACGUCUUGGUUUCUGGCCAUGUCGAGGGAGAGUUCCAGGCAUGCAGUGCCUUUGCAAGACGAAAAUGCAGAUUCCAAGGCACCCCCAGACGAGCUGGAGGACCGGGUGCCCUGGAGCCACCCUGGGGCCACCCGCUUCCGUCGUGGCGUGGGCCCCAUCCCCAGCUCCAUCUGGUCCUCGCCACGGAGGCCUCUGGCAGUCAGCACAGGGGCAGCCUCCCACAGAGCCCUGAAGGACCAGGUGAGCCUCACGCACUUGCUGACUCAGGGCAGAACAGCCACAGGGCCUCGCCCGUGAGUGUGGCUUGGACACACUGGGGCAUGGAGCUUGUCCCUGAGUUCCACACUUGUACUAGGAGGGCUUCCCGUGCGGUGGGGCGUGAAUUACGAAGAAAAUCACACCUCCCUCCUCCUGAACGAAACGAUUCCCAUGCCUCACUCGGGUCACAGAAACUGAGGUCACCUGCCCUUGGCCCAGCGUGUAGGAGGUCAGGACACAGCCCCCACCCAUGCCUGCCCUAGGUGCCCUCUGAGACCCUAACCUCCCGAGACUGCCAGAAGCCCUCCAGAUAAGUGCAUUCCGGUUUGAACUGCGGCGUGACAGGGUCUCUGUGAAUGCAAGGUGCGGUGCGCCAGUGCUGGAAGCGUGCAGGGGCCGGGCGUCCCACCCACCCGUGAUCACUCACUACCUUCCCCAGACGCACCAGGACAGCAGGUGUGCCCAGGCUCGGGGCCAGGUGGACGAGAGUCUGAGAUGUGGGGCCGUGGACCCCAUUCGACUCCACCAGCCUCCUUUUCCUCCUCUGUAAAUUAGGGUGACAAAAGGCCUCUCAGCAGAGUUGUUGUGAAGCAGCGAAGCCCCAUGGUAAAGGGCUCACGAGGCUUCAGACCACACAGGUGAGCCCCCUACAGGUGAGCCUCACACGAGUGAGACCCACACAGGUGAGCCCCACACGGAUGAGCCUCACACGGAUGAGCCCCACACGGGUGAGCCCCACACGACUGAGCCCCACACGACUGAGCCCCACACGGGUGAGCCCCACACGACUGAGCCCCACACGACUGAGCCCCACACGGGUGAGCCCCACACAGGUGAGCCCUCCACAGGUGAAUCCCACAUGAGUGAGCUCUACAUAGGUGAGCCCCACACAGGUGAGCUCCACACAGGUGAGCUGCACACGAGUGAGACCUCCACAGGUGAGCCCUUCACAGGUGAGCCCCACAUGGGUGAGCCCUACACAGAUGAGCCCCACCCGAGUGACCCACAUGGAUGAGCCCCACAUGUCUGAGCCCCACACAGGUAAGCCCCACACGAGUGAGCCCCACAUGAGUGAGCCCCACACAAGUGAGACCCACAUGGAUGAACCCCACAUGAGUGAGCUCCCCACACGGGUGGGCCCCACACGGGUGAGCCCUCCACAGGUGAAUACCACAUGAGUGAGCUCUACAUAGGUGAGCCCCACACAGGUGAGCCCCACACGGGUGAGCUGCACAUGAGUGAGACCUCCACAGGUGAGCCCUUCACAGGUGAGCCCCACAUGGGUGAGCCCCACACGUCAGCCCUCCACAGGUGAGCCCCACACAGGUGAGCCCCACACGAGUGAGCCCCACAUGAGUGAGCCCCACACAAGCGAGCCCCACACGGAUGAACCCCACACAAGUGAGCUCCCCACAUAGGGGAACCUCACACAGGUGAGCCCCCACAGGAGAGCAACCAGAGUCACCCAGGAUGCUCCCCAUCACGGCCCAUUUCAUUCUGUGGUGGCUCCAGGAAAGACUUUGUCAUUUGAGCAUAGGUCUGCCCCUUCCAGCUCCUUCCAGGUUAACAGGCGUGAGGGGCCCAGUCGGAGAGGCGGGGGGCUUUGAACUUCUGAAGGGUGGGGUGUGGUCUGUCGCUGGACGAUCGUGGGGGCCUGUGCUCCUUCCCCGUUAGGAUCUGCUUGAGUCAGCGCCUGUCACCGGGCACCUUCACAGCACAGGCAAUGCAAGGAUUCUCCCUUCUUGACGUUGUGGACACUCCGCUCCUUUCAGCUUUCAGGCUGCUGAGCCUCUGGAAGCACAAACACAACCCAAAUCCCCUUUGUAUCGCAACAAAAAGGCCUCCACCUGCUCACUUGUGAGAGUUGCGCUUUUGUAUAACGCACACAACACGGAUGGGAGGGAUUUUCUUCAAGGAGGAAGAUGCGGCCGGUAAAUGGGAACCAAGUAAACGCGUUCCCAGAAAACCUCUUCUGGGUAAGUGCAGUGGGCAAGGGACAGGAGCACGAAUAAUUGUGUCUUCUGAAUUUCCUCAGAGGCUGGAAGGAGUUAAACCAGACACGUGAUAGGAGGAAUUAGGGAAUAUAUGUAUUUAUAUGUGCAAAAAUUUUUGUAAGGAAAGUUGGCUGCAACUAAACAUUUUCCACAGUGUGCUAUACAUGUUUUCAAUGAAAGAUGACAUGUAUUUGCAUAAAAAUUCUCUGACACAUUAAAUUCCUACAAGCUGAAGUAAAACCCGGGUGCUUCUUGGCGACUGUGUUUUUUUCUAUGUAAAGUAAAAUGCCUCUAAAGAGCAGAAACAACAGUGUCUCUGGAGAGCGCUGCCGGUCGCAUGUUCCCAUCUGGUGGAAACUCGCGUGUCGGUGCAGCAACCAGGAGCCGCCAGGGCCACGAGGUGAUGGCUCACAGAAGAUAGUGUAGCCGGCCAGGGCUGGUGGGAGGGACACAGAGGGGCCUCUCCUCUCGACCCAGCGCAGUGUGUGUAAGGUGCCCGUGGCUGUGAAAGGCCACCUGACAGCCCAGGAAUCUGCGAAGUCUCGGCAUCGUAAGACAGACCAGCUCCUCCAUUCUAGCCUUGCAGAUGAUUUCAACUCUGGGAACGAGACACAGAAUGCGAGACUGAGGGACUUCUGCUCUGGGCCUAAUUGUUUUCUGACUUUAUGUUACAGACAAUUUAGGACAGAAGCAGAGAGUGAAUGACAUGUAGACCUCAUGGACUGCUGUCCAACUUCCACAGUGACCAGCUCGGGCCAGUCCUGCACCAUCAACCCCCAACCCGCUGCCCCACUUGUGUUAUUUUGCAGCUAAUCCCUGACAUCAUAUUUCAUCCUUAAACAUUUGGCAUUGUCUCUAAAAAAAUUAAGAUCUUUAAUAAAACAUUACUACAGAAC